GCACGUCUGCCUGGGCGUCACGCACGCCGUCGCCCCCUCGCCCCGCGCCGUCCCCCAAGGGGACGGGUGCGCGGGCGGCAGGGCGGAGCCUGGCCCCCCGUGCCCGCGAGGGCGCGGUCGGCCCAAAAAGAGGGAUCCCGGUGGGAGCGGUCACGGCCGGUG
rnacentral:rRNA from 1 species